AAAAAUAUAACAAACUAAAUAACAAACCCUAAAUCCUAAUUAACUUUGGGCUUGGGCCUCAAACAACUUGGAUUAUAUCUUAUAUCUCAACACAUGUAACCUCCAUUCUUGGUGGUGUGAUGAGGUUCUUCCUUCGUGCCACCAUUUUUCUCUGAUGACGUUUUUCCUCCAUUCAUCCUCGUUGCAGCCGCUCUUCUUCACCGGUGUUUUCUUCAUUCUAUUUUCGAUGGCACACACCAAUUGUUUUUC
rnacentral:lncRNA from 1 species